UGGGUGACUGCACUAAAUGACAUAAA
rnacentral:piRNA from 1 species